GAGGUUGUGGCUCAGUGGUAGAGCACUUGCCUAACAUGUGUGAGGCACUGGGUUCAAUUCUCAGCACCACA
rnacentral:tRNA from 1 species